rnacentral:rRNA from 1 species
GACGAACGCUGGCGGCGUGCUUAACACAUGCAAGUCGAACGGAAAGGCCUCUUUCGGGGGGUACUCGAGUGGCGAACGGGUGAGUAACACGUGAGUAACCUGCCCUUGACUUUGGGAUAACUUCAGGAAACUGGGGCUAAUACCGGAUAGGAGCUCCUGCUGCAUGGUGGGGGUUGGAAAGUUUCGGCGGUUGGGGAUGGACUCGCGGCUUAUCAGCUUGUUGGUGGGGGAGUGGCUUACCAAGGCUUUGACGGGUAGCCGGCCUGGGAGGGUGACCGGCCACAUUGGGACUGAGAUACGGCCCAGACUCCUACGGGAGGCAGCAGUGGGGAAUAUUGCACAAUGGGUGGGAGCCUGAUGCAGCAACGCCGUGUGCGGGAUGACGGCCUUCGGGUUGUAAACCGCUUUCGCUCAUGACGAAGCUUUGUGUGACGGUAGUGGGUAAAGAAGCACCGGCUAACUACGUG